GCAUUUAUACAGUGAAACUGCGAAUGGCUCAUUAAAUCAGUUAUCGUUUAUUUGAUAGUUCCUUUACUACAUGGUAUAACUGUGGUAAUUCUAGAGCUAAUACAUGCUUAACAUCUCGACCCUUUGGAAGAGAUGUAUUUAUUAGAUAAAAAAUCAAUGUCUUCGGACUCUUUGAUGAUUCAUAAUAACUUUUCGAAUCGCAUGGCCUUGUGCUGGCGAUGGUUCAUUCAAAUUUCUGCCCUAUCAACUUUCGAUGGUAGGAUAGUGGCCUACCAUGGUUUCAACGGGUAACGGGGAAUAAGGGUUCGAUUCCGGAGAGGGAGCCUGAGAAACGGCUACCACAUCCAAGGAAGGCAGCAGGCGCGCAAAUUACCCAAUCCUAAUUCAGGGAGGUAGUGACAAUAAAUAACGAUACAGGGCCCAUUCGGGUCUUGUAAUUGGAAUGAGUACAAUGUAAAUACCUUAACGAGGAACAAUUGGAGGGCAAGUCUGGUGCCAGCAGCCGCGGUAAUUCCAGCUCCAAUAGCGUAUAUUAAAGUUGUUGCAGUUAAAAAGCUCGUAGUUGAACUUUGGGCCCGGUUGGCCGGUCCGAUUUUUUCGUGUACUGGAUUUCCAACGGGGCCUUUCCUUCUGGCUAACCUUGAGUCCUUGUGGCUCUUGGCGAACCAGGACUUUUACUUUGAAAAAAUUAGAGUGUUCAAAGCAGGCGUAUUGCUCGAAUAUAUUAGCAUGGAAUAAUAGAAUAGGACGUUUGGUUCUAUUUUGUUGGUUUCUAGGACCAUCGUAAUGAUUAAUAGGGACGGUCGGGGGCAUCAGUAUUCAAUUGUCAGAGGUGAAAUUCUUGGAUUUAUUGAAGACUAACUACUGCGAAAGCAUUUGCCAAGGACGUUUUCAUUAAUCAAGAACGAAAGUUAGGGGAUCGAAGAUGAUCAGAUACCGUCGUAGUCUUAACCAUAAACUAUGCCGACUAGGGAUCGGGUGGUGUUUUUUUAAUGACCCACUCGGCACCUUACGAGAAAUCAAAGUC
rnacentral:rRNA from 1 species